CCAUCAUCUUGUGUAGAACCCAAAUUCAAAUCUGACACUCCAUGACUUAAUUGUUCAACAGCAGGGCUAGAGACAUUUGAGAACCCUUUUCCCUUAAAUGAUGGACCAGAAGGACCAGUACUGGAAGGAUUCGAACCCCAUUUUCCCGAACUCAUCUUCCUAUAAAGUCUCUGAACAGAUCAAAUUACAGUGAGAACAAGAUAUAUAGUAAACAUUAUUCCAACACACAAACAACUCCAUCACACCGAAAUGUUACAUAAAUUACUAAAAUUUAAAAAUUCUCGUAGUUCCCUAAUUUAGUUUCCAUGCUGUUUAAUUUUAGAAGACAGAUGUAGAAUACAACUCAUAGGACUUAAUAUGCAUGAAAAGAUUCCACUGCAUUGGAUAUUUCAAUAUAGUGUUAGAUCGAAUGAAGUGGCAAAAAGAGAUUAAUGUAUAAUGUAUCCAACCCUGCAGUGAUCUUGAAUAGGAAUCCUACAGCGAUAAAUAGAAUCCCCAUAAAAUACCACUAGAGAGCACCAGUGAUUUGUAUCCUGUCAAAGUCUUGGUACAUUUAUCAAAGUAGGUAGCACCAGUAGACUCAGAAUGGCUACCACUUAGCUCCCCACUUGCUUCGGACCAUUACCGAAUGGUCCUAUGCUUCACGGGGAGUGCAAGGCUCACUCUUCGGGUCUGCUUUCCUCGGGCUCCUUUUUUGGAAUACACCGAGAGAAGCAGGCCCUAGAUUGAAAUGGAAAAAUCUCAAAGUUAGGCAAGACUUCUAUUAGUCGGUGAAAUGCCAAAAGAGACUCAUUAAAACUGAAUGCAGAAUUAUGCAAAGUAAUUAUCAAUAUAACAAAUGGAAAAGAGUACAUCAAACAGAUUAAAACAGUAUAUGCAUCAAAAUGCCCCCGUCAAAACUUUUUCUAUAAUGGAAAUGGUUUCAGAAGAAAGUAUUUAAUAAAUCAGUCAUUAGACUCCUUGUAGGCAGGGCAUUGAUGAGAAAUUGAAACUAAAGAAAAAUUAUUUCCGUCAGCCUUUUUGUCCUUCUAAAACAGAAACUACGGUGAAAAAUUAUUCAGGUAUAUAGAUGAAAAACAUAAAAAAUGAAAGGAAAAUUAUGUAAAAACUAGAGAGAUUCUCUCCAUCACUUGUAAUCUUAAC
rnacentral:lncRNA from 1 species